rnacentral:rRNA from 1 species
UACGAAGGGGGCUAGCGUUGCUCGGAAUCACUGGGCGUAAAGGGUGCGUAGGCGGGUCUUUAAGUCAGGGGUGAAAUCCUGGAGCUCAACUCCAGAACUGCCUUUGAUACUGAAGAUCUUGAGUUCGGGAGAGGUGAGUGGAACUGCGAGUGUAGAGGUGAAAUUCGUAGACAUUCGCAAGAACACCAGUGGCGAAGGCGGCUCACUGGCCCGAUACUGACGCUGAUGCACGAAAGCGUGGGGAGCAAACAGG